rnacentral:rRNA from 1 species
CGGGUGAGUAACGCGUGGGUAACCUGCCUUGUACUGGGGGACAACAGUUAGAAAUGACUGCUAAUACCGCAUAAGCGCACAGUAUCGCAUGAUACAGUGUGAAAAACUCCAGUGGUACAAGAUGGACCCGCGUCUGAUUAGCUAGUUGGUAAGGUAACGGCUUACCAAGGCGACGAUCAGUAGCCGACCUGAGAGGGUGACCGGCCACAUUGGGACUGAGACACGGCCCAA